GUGGGGAAUAUUGGACAAUGGGCGAAAGCCUGAUCCAGCCAUGCCGCGUGUGUGAAGAAGGUCUUCGGAUUGUAAAGCACUUUAAGUUGGGAGGAAGGGCAGUAAGUUAAUACCUUGCUGUUUUGACGUUACCGACAGAAUAAGCACCGGCUAACUUCGUGCCAGCAGCCGCGGUAAUACGAAGGGUGCAAGCGUUAAUCGGAAUUACUGGACGUAAAGCGCGCGUAGGUGGUUUUGUAAGUUGGAGGUGAAAUCCCCAGGCUCAACCUGGGAACUGCCUCCAAAACUGCAUGACUAGAGUACGGUAGAGGGUAGUGGAAUUUCCUGUGUAGCGGUGAAAUGCGUAGAUAUAGGAAGGAACACCAGUGGCGAAGGCGACUACCUGGACUGAUACUGACACUGAGGUGCGAAAGCGUGGGGAGCAAACAGGAUUAGAAACCCUGGUAGUCC
rnacentral:rRNA from 1 species